rnacentral:rRNA from 1 species
UACGUAGGGGGCGAGCGUUGUCCGGAAUUAUUGGGCGUAAAGAGCGUGUAGGCGGUCCGGUAAGUCCGCUGUGAAAGUCCAGGGCUCAACCCUGGAAUGCCGGUGGAUACUGCCGGGCUAGAGUCCAGAAGAGGCGAGUGGAAUUCCUGGUGUAGCGGUGAAAUGCGCAGAUAUCAGGAGGAACACCGAUGGCGAAGGCAGCUCGCUGGGACGGUACUGACGCUGAGACGCGAAAGCGUGGGGAGCAAACAGG